UUCUGUAGGAGUCCUGGAACCUUGUGCCACGUCUAAAGUAUUUCAUUGACAUGUUAGCCAGAGUCUCAGGCAGACGGCACGGAGUCUUUAUAUCCGCUUUUUCAACACAAUGAGGAUUCCUAACACAAGACUGUGAUGGACAUUAUUUAAUGACGCGUGAUGGUCUUCUGCUCUUCUUGGACUUUUAAUAAACGCUUGACUCACUGGAACAUGACCUUAUUUUAAGUUUCACAGAAUAUUAAAAGACCUAAUACAAUUUUUUUUUAACAGCGCGUUAUAUUUCUUAUUAUCACAGCAGCCAAUAGCUGCACGAAGUACUGCGAUGUCGUCAACAACGUAGAAGAAGAAGGAAGAUGAUUGGUUCUCUGUGGGAGGCGCCAAUAUAAUCAGGAAGUGACGGCCGGGCGACCAUGGCGGCAAAAUGACUUCGACGUCGACGUCACUUUUUUCCAAUGGCUGCACGGAGUACUGCCAUGUCGUCUGCUCAGCAACAACGUAGAAGAAGAAGAGGCAGCAAUAUGAUUGGUUCUCUGUGGGAGGCGCCAAGAUAAACAGGAAGUGACGGCCCGGCGACCAUGGCGGCAAAAUGACUUCGACGGCGUCACUAUUUUGUGAGUAUCAGGUGGUUCCAGUCGCUCCAACAAUGUUUCUGUGAGGAUUUUUCUCUCCCAAUUUUUGGCAAAAACAUUUCUGUACAGCCUAAAACAACGUUAUUUGUCAUAAAUGGAUGUACAUAUUUUUGUUUUCUUUCACACUGACAUGCGGUCAGAUGCACUGCUUGUCGGACGUUUUUGUUUUCAGGUCACAUUCUGGGUUCAUUGGUUACAUUUCUUCAUAGUUUUUUUGUGUCUGGUUCUAAUCCAGGCCGUAUUUAUUUCUUUUUAAGAAUGUGUCGCAGGCCAAGAAAAAACAAUCUGUGGGCCACAAAAGGCCCGCGUGCCGCACUUUAGACACACCUCGCCAUAGGUCUGUUAAUCUCGCAUGCUUAAUAUUAAUAUUAUCUUUUGAAAUAAAUGUAUUUUUGUUUUCACGGCACAUUUUGGCUUCAUUGGAGCCAGUUACAUUUUUUCAUAGUUUUUUGUGUCGAGUUCUAAUCCAGGCCUUGUUUAUUUCCUUUGACUCAGUGUUGCAAAAGCAAGCUGCGGGCCGCAAAAAGGGCCCCGUGCUGCACUUUGGACACCCGCCGCAAUAAAUCCAUUAAUCUAGCAUGUUUAAUAUGAAUAUUAUCUUUUAUUACAAAUGUGUUCAAACGAAAAAAAUACUUUAUGCCAAUAAAACAAUUUUGUUUGA